rnacentral:rRNA from 1 species
UACGAAGGGGGCUAGCGUUGUUCGGAAUCACUGGGCGUAAAGGGCGCGUAGGCGGCUUUAUAAGUCGGGGGUGAAAGCCUGUGGCUCAACCACAGAAUUGCCCUUCGAUACUGUAGAGCUUGAGACCGGAAGAGGUAAGUGGAACUGCGAGUGUAGAGGUGAAAAUUCGUAGAUAUUCGCAAGAACACCAGUGGCGAAGGCGGCUUACUGGUCCGGUUCUGACGCUGAGGCGCGAAAGCGUGGGGAGCAAACAGG